GAGCGAGGCGAUCGCGGGGGGGCAGCUAGAGGCCGGUCGGGUUAGGGGGUGCGCCGGCGGUACUUAGGGAUGCGGCUGUUGGCGAUGCGGCUGGGGAGGAGGAUGGCGCUGUCCGCGUCGCUGGACCGGCGCCGAGGAUAUGAGCGGGGCGGCCAGGGGCACCGGGGCCGGGUCUUGGGGAUGCGACGGGGCAUGUGCGGGUACGGGGGGGGGCAGCGACCGAAGCCGGUCCCGCCGCCUCCGAUGCCGCCACCGUACCCUAUGCCGCCAUCUCCAUCUCCGCCGCCACCGCCACCUGGCCCACCGAAGGCACCGCCGCCACCGUCUCCUCCGUCGUUGCCCUCCCUGCCCGAGCUGAGCGAGAGGGACGGGUUCCGCCUGAAGGCCCCGGAAUAUGGCAAGCUCUUCUCGAAGAUGCACCUCACGGGGCGGCACGUCCGAUACAGCCUGUGCCUCCACCGCGUCAUGGCAGUCGAGGCCCUAUAGUGGCACCUUCCGGCCCUCCACGGGUUCGGAUAGGCGAAGAAGGUACUUCGAUUGAAAGGUCUAAUGACGUACGUUCGUUAACGAUUCAGUCCUAAACACCUCGGUUGCGGAUAGGUUCGAGUCCCAACCGGCUACCGGAACUUCCCGUCCCUACACUAACCAUAACGUCUUUGACCUAGACCCUUUUGUGAUAGAAUGUAUGAUGGACCAAACCAAGUACAACCACGUGUCGGAGCUGAUCUUGUUCCACUACCGGGCUAACAGAACUAGGAACGAGGUUGUUCUCUUGACCGACAAGUUUAUGUCCGUCUUCGAUGUUUUAAACCUAGUAUGAGCUCUUGAUCUUCGUGUACAUAGAUGCCACCUCGUGGAUUCCCUGGUGUUUAUGCACUGGAUUCCUCUCCUCAACUUUAACAGUAACGUUGUGGACCGGCCAACUAUCUAUACGACCUUCGACCAGUGUGUUUGGAUGUAGCCCAAUGUAUGGAACAGGACCUACUCCGUCUAGCAUACGAGCUAUACCCAAAACUUGGAGUCUAAGCUUUUUAUAACCGUGUUUAGGCAGGCCUGUCCGUUUGGAACAUGACCUCACGGUGCACCGGCUCUCUUCAACUUUGUGACCGAUCUGUUAAAGACGUCUUGGGAAUGUUCCAUUACUAUCCUUGUCGACUUGAAUUUCGAUUGGUAAGGUAUGUCGUUUAACAACUUCAAUAGAGUCUAGUACUUUUUAUAGGGUCCGAUUCAUUUGAGAAUAGACUAGACUACCUACCCUCGGCUUAGAAUUAUAAAAAAGUUUGUUUUUUCCUUACACUAUUCCAGUGAGCCGUUGAAUCUUACCUGCCUACCGGUCGUAAUAGAUAUGUACCACUAUUUCGAGUCAGACUUUCCCUGAUACAAGACCGUCUCAAAUUCUUACCCUUCUCAGGAUAUUACCGACGGUGUCUACAUCGCCGUGCACCAGAACUACACUUCCUAUAAUUCACGCACUAAUUAAAACUAAAGGGCUGUUGAUAGCUCCUAAUAUAAGUAUCCUAUCCAGCGUGACCGGCACGGCCACGAUGACCCUACCGUAAGUGCAAGAAGUGCGUAAGGUUACGUUUUAUAAGUUCCUUAGAACAAUUCUAGAACGCGCUUCGACCCGUCCAACACUUAGGUCGCGAUCUUCGAUACAGGUUCAGGCGGCCAAGAUACCCUCCUCCUCCAUUAAAGGCCAGUUCCCCGGCUCCACCCAAACCACCACCACCCAUACCACCAUUGGCAAGACCUAGUUUAAGGUAAGGUCAUGCAUCUUCUAUGAUUCUGUGUUUUUACUUCUAGGUAAGACUACGAUCUUUUCUGUUCUCGCAACUUCAAAAUAGACAUAUGUAAUCCGUAAUUUAAUUUACGUAAAAACCCCUUAAAGAAACUUUAGGAAGAUGACAAUCUUCUAGUUUUGUUUUCAGUAAGAACUAUAAAAACAUGGCCUCGAGUAUACUUUCCUUGAGUACAUAGUCGCUGGAAUCUAAUGUUAUCAGAACAGCUUUGUCACUUGAUUCGCACAUGGAAACACCGAUUAACAGCCUCCGAGAGAAGAUUAACCUAAACCAGUAUACAAAACAACGAAGACGUAGAGAGAC
rnacentral:rRNA from 1 species